rnacentral:rRNA from 1 species
UACGAAGGGGGCUAGCGUUGCUCGGAAUGACUGGGCGUAAAGGGCGCGUAGGCGGUUUGUACAGUCAGGUGUGAAAUUCCCGGGCUCAACCUGGGGGCGGCACUUUGAGACGUAGGAACUGGAGUGAGGAAGAGGGUCGUGGAAUUCCCAGUGUAGAGGUGAAAUUCGUAGAUAUUGGGAAGAACACCGGUGGCGAAGGCGGCGACCUGGUCCUUUUACUGACGCUGAGGCGCGAAAGCGUGGGGAGCAAACAGG